rnacentral:rRNA from 1 species
UACGUAGGGUGCAAGCGUUGUCCGGAAUUAUUGGGCGUAAAGAGCUCGUAGGCGGUCAGUCGCGUCUGCUGUGAAAACUCGGGGCUUAACUCCGGGCCUGCAGUGGGUACGGGCUGACUAGAGUGCGGUAGGGGAGACUGGAAUUCCUGGUGUAGCGGUGAAAUGCGCAGAUAUCUGGAGGAAUACCGGUGGCGAAGGCGGCAUCCUGGACCGACAUUGACGCUGAGGAGCGAAAGCUAGGGGAGCAAACGGGG